rnacentral:rRNA from 1 species
GACGAACGCUGGCGGCGUGCUUAACACAUGCAAGUCGAACGGAAAGGCCCUGCUUUUGUGGGGUGCUCGAGUGGCGAACGGGUGAGUAACACGUGAGUAACCUGCCCUUGACUUUGGGAUAACUUCAGGAAACUGGGGCUAAUACCGGAUAGGAGCUCCUGCUGCAUGGUGGGGGUUGGAAAGUUUCGGCGGUUGGGGAUGGACUCGCGGCUCAUCAGCUUGUUGGUGGGGUAGUGGCUUACCAAGGCUUUGACGGGUAGCCGGCCUGGGAGGGGGACCGGCCACAUUGGGACUGGGAUACGGCCAGGACUCCUACGGGAGGCAGCAGUGGGGAAUAUUGCCCAAUGGGCGGAAGCCUGAUGCAGCAACGCCGCGUGCGGGAUGACGGCCUUCGGGUUGUAAACCGCUUUCGCCUGUGACGAAGCGUGAGUGACGGUAAUGGGUAAAGAAGCACCGGCUAACUACGUG